rnacentral:rRNA from 1 species
GCAAGUCGAACGGUAACAGGCCGCUGUGAUUCCUUCGGGAUGAACUUGGCGCUGACGAGUGGCGGACGGGUGAGUAACGCGUAGGAAUCUGCCCAGUAGUGGGGGACAACUUGGGGAAACCCAAGCUAAUACCGCAUACGCCCCAAGGGGGAAAGCGGGGGAUCUUCGGACCUCGCGCUAUUGGAUGAGCCUGCGUCGGAUUAGCUUGUUGGUGAGGUAAAGGCUCACCAAGGCGACGAUCCGUAGCUGGUCUGAGAGGACGAUC